rnacentral:rRNA from 1 species
CAAUGUUCGCGGCUGUCUGGUACUGCGAACUUCUAUACCUCCGCUGUUUAGACACGGCUAGGGGAGAACCACUAUUGAGAUCGGCUCGGGGAGAACCACUGUAAGGAUUAGAACUCGUAGGAAGGGCUUACUGAGGUCACGGUCACGGUCUAGGUUCCGUACCUCUUGAGGUUCCUCAAACGACUGUUCGACAAGCCCUAUACAGCUCCGUCUCCUUGUAACUCGGCCUACUUCCGUAAUUGUUCCUAGCCGAGUCUCUCCACCUUGUACUUGUAACUACCCUACGAGUGUCUUCUACUCCAGUUCUUCCACCGAUGCGUUUACUAGUGUCUCUUCUGAUGGCGACCAAGCAGAAGGGGCGGGAAAUUUAUACAAGUGCAGACGUGUAGUUAGAUAGCUAUAACAAACCCUAUAAAAAGGUGCCGGAAAACUAGCUGGUGCGCUAAGUUUUUCGAGAAAUCACGUCAAACGUUGUUGUUUUUAGUCUCCUAACCAGCAAACAUUCCCACCUAUAGAGUCUCCACCGUCGGUGGGUCUAACCUUAAAUUAAAGUUAGAUAAAGGGACAGACUUCAAAGUAUGAUCUACCUUACAAGGACACUACACUAAACAAGUACCUCUACCUCUCUACACUGAAAGUCUCA